AGCAAUUUAGCAUACAUAACACCAAAUAUGAUCAUGAUUAGCCAUUCCAAUGGCUAAUCAUUACCAAGCAUUUCCAUACCACUCAAUAUCCAUAUCAUAAGACCAUAUAUACAAGAUGAUUAUAAUGCUAUACAUGCCAUACUCAAAAUAUACAAGCCAUUAUGCCAAGAUGGUAUACGGAUAGUGUGAGUGGGCCUCCGACCGUUCCCGAUUUCUGAGCUGGCUUGUCAAAACUACAAGGAAUGAAAAGGAGGGAGUAAGCAUAAAUGAUUAGUAAGUCCAUAUGAAAUUAAUAAGCAAUUACCAACAUGCUUUUAAGAUAAAACACCACAAUUGUACAAUUAUACAUACUCAGCUUAAACUGUUUUAUCGAGAUACAUUUACUAAAUAAUUUAUUUCUAAAGCUAAGAAACUCCAAAUUAAGUUUCGUUAAUUUUUAUUGAAACUAGAUUCAUAUACCUUUCUCCCAUAAAAUUUCCAGAAUUUUUGGUUUAGCCAUUUAGUACAGUUUAUUCAUUAAAGUUUCCCCUGUUUCGCUGUCCAACAGUUCUGAUCUCUCUUCACUAAAAAUUAUUUAUCUCAUAAUUUGGGACUUGGAUGAUGUUCCCGUCUAUCCCUAUUGAAAAUAGACUCGAUAAGGAUUUUAAAUAUAUAAAUUAAAACUCAUAAUUAUUUUUGUACAAUUUCUAAUGAUUUUCUAAAAUCAGAACAGGGGAUCUCGAAGUCAUUCAAACUCUGUCUCACAACAAAUUUAAAUAUCUUUUAACAUAAAAUCCAAUUGCAUGCACCGUUUCGUCUAUAUGAAACUAGACUCAUCAGGAUUUAAUCUCAUAUUUUAUUCAGCCCUUAACUCAAUUUCCACAAUUUAUGGUAAAUUUCAAAAGUUACACUACUGCAGUAACCCAAAACUGCCAAGGCCAUAUUUAUUCAUUCUCCACUAUUAUUCACUAAAUCCAUAUAAUAUCAUUUCAUCCAUCAUGGUAAGAACACAUAAUUAUGCUUCAUAAGCAUAGAUCCAUAAUCUCAAUGUCAUCAAGUAUCAAGAACUUAUUCCAAAUCGUGUCAUUUUCAUAGUAUUCACCAAUUCUUAAUCUUUUCGGGCCAUUUUACAUUUUCGUUCAUAAUCAAAUUAGGGAACGAUUACGGAAUUGAGUACCUCAUUAUCACAAUGCCAUAGUAAAACUAUGGUCUUGCACAUAGUUACAUAUCACAUACCGAGGCCAUAGCCCAGCCAUGGUCUUACACGGAUCACAUAUCACACUGAUGCUAUAUCCCAGAUAUGGUCUUAUACAGUAGCACAUAUCACACUGAUGCCAUAUCCCGGAUAUGGUCUUAUACGGAAGCACAUAUCACAUUUCUCCGAAGCCAUAGCCCAGCUAUGGUCUUAUACAGAAAUCACAUUUCACAUGCUGCCAUGAUCCAACCAUGGUCUUUUCCGUCAAUUCGUCUUAGCCACUGAAUGAAAGUACUCAAGUCCGUUGUUCCAUUUAAUUUGUACUUUUAUUCAAAUAUCAUUUUACAAUUAUCACAGUUUAAUGACAUUUUAUAUGCAAUAAUAUACUAUAUCAUUCAUGAAAUUUUCAUUUCAAAACAUUAAAUUACACAUUGCAUUAUUAAAAAUCAUAUGAACUUACCUCGAUAUAAAAUAUUAGCAAUCGAGCCUAUUCCUCGUAGACUUUAUUUUUCCCUCGAUCACGACUUGAAUCUCG
rnacentral:lncRNA from 1 species